UUUCCAAAUCAACUAAUGUUGAGUAAUAUUAAGAGUGGCUGGUGUGUCAAAGCUGGCUACAUAACAUGAUUUCCUAUUUAGAGGAUAUCAUUAUACUUCUAGAUCUUUUACACAGCAUUUCACUGUUAGUGGGACCUGAGCCUUCCCUUUCUUGGAGGCAGGUAUUUCUUCUGGACAUGUUACCUUGCAUUGGUUAUCCAUCACGGAAAUGCAGCACUACUUUGUAAUAUGGAUUCUCUUUGAGAAGAUGAUAUUUCAGGAAGUUAAUUUUAUGAAAUUGCAGUGUUGGACAGCCCCAAGAGAGAGGGUUUUACACCAGGUGUUAUCAAUAACCUUCAUGGCAAAAGAGAAGACAGGUGACAUAUGUACAAUGAAUGCACUCAUACUAUCGAUUAUGAUGAAUCCACGUGGAAUCCACCUUAAUCAAUGGUCAAAGUAAAAUUGUUGUACAUACAAUUAUUGUAUUGAAUAAUCUUCUGCAGAGAAGAUUAUAUCAUGGGAGCAAUCACCAAAUGCUACCAGUAGUUAUCAAGAUUCUGUCUACUAAACAAGUUAAACAGCUGCUGAGAAAGGCUUCAGCUUAUCCCUUUUUUUUUCGUUCUUUGAUAUAAGUUGAACAGGAAGCAGAGAACUAAUCCUUUUUCAUCUGUUGUUGGCUUCGGAGAUCUAACUUUCUGGAGUUGUUUUGUAUCCAUUAGUCCUUUUCAUGUUAUAUCCUAAUCUACUUUUUAUGUGGCUAUCAAACAUUCACAAAUGGAAAGAAGGGUAAGGAA
rnacentral:misc_RNA from 1 species